rnacentral:rRNA from 1 species
AGAGUUUGAUCCUGGCUCAGAUUGAACGCUGGCGGCAUGCCUUACACAUGCAAGUCGAACGGCAGCGCGGACUUCGGUCUGGCGGCGAGUGGCGAACGGGUGAGUAAAGUAUCGGAACGUACCGUGUAGAGGGGGAUAACGCAGCGAAAGUUGCGCUAAUACCGCAUAAACUGUGAGCAGCAAAGCAGGGGAUCGCAAGACCUUGCGCUAGACGAGCGGCCGAUAUCAGAUUAGCUAGUUGGUGAGGUAAAGGCCCACCAAGGCAACGAUCUGUAGCGGGUCUGAGAGGAUGAUCCGCCACACUGGAACUGAGACACGGUCCAGACUCCUACGCUACGGGAGGCAGCAGUGGGGAAUUUUGGACAAUGGGGGCAACCCUGAUCCAGCCAUGCCGCGUGAGUGAAGAAGGCCUUCGGGUUGUAAAGCUCUUUCGGCCGGGAAGAAAUCGUGGAGGCUAAAACCCUUCAUGGAUGACGGUACCGGAACAAGAAGCACCGGCUAACUACGUGCCAGCAGCCGCGGUAAUACGUAGGGUGCGAGCGUUAAUCGGAAUUACUGGGCGUAAAGCGUGCGCAGGCGGUUUUGUAAGACAGGCGUGAAAUCCCCGGGCUCAACCUGGGAACUGCGCUUGUGACUGCAAGGCUAGAGUACGGCAGAGGGGGGUGGAAUUCCACGUGUAGCAGUGAAAUGCGUAGAGAUGUGGAGGAACACCAAUGGCGAAGGCAGCCCCCUGGGUCGAUACUGACGCUCAUGCACGAAAGCGUGGGUAGCAAACAGGAUUAGAUACCCUGGUAGUCCACGCCCUAAACGAUGUCAACUAGGUGUUGGGUGGGUAAAACCAUUUAGUACCGUAGCUAACGCGUGAAGUUGACCGCCUGGGGAGUACGGCCGCAAGGUUAAAACUCAAAG